rnacentral:rRNA from 1 species
GGAUGAACGCUAGCGGGAGGCCUAACACAUUCAAGCCGAGCGGGAUUUGUUGGUUAGCUUGCUACCUAACAAUGAGAGCGGCGUACGGGUGCGUAGCACGUGUGCAACCUGCCUUUAUCUGGGGGAUAGCCUUUCGAAAGGAAGAUUAAUACCCCAUAACAUAUUGAUUGGCAUCAGUUAAUAUUGAAAGCUCCGGCGGAUAGAGAUGGGCACGCGUAAGAUUAGCUAGUUGGUGAGGUAACGGCUCACCAAGGCUGCGAUCUUUAGGGGGCCUGAGAGGGUGAUCCCCCACACUGGUACUGAGACACGGACCAGACUCCUACGGGAGGCAGCAGUGAGGAAUAUUGGACAAUGGGUGAGAGCCUGAUCCAGCCAUCCCGCGUGAAGGACUAAGGACCUAUGGUUUGUAAACUUCUUUUAUACAGGGAUAAACCUACUCUCGUGAGGGUAGCUGAAGGUACUGUAUGAAUAAGCACCGGCUAACUCCGUG